GAGUGCAGGCUGGCACAUGAACUGCGUGCAUUCUUACAGUUGUGAUAUUUGUUGCUGAUGAAUUUCAAAAGCAAGCCCUGUUUCCAACUUUUUGCCUGUCAAGCUCUCCUCUGCGAAAUUUAUGACAAGUGGGAAGCCUCCUAUGUGCCAGAAGUUAUUGCAGAGUGAGAAGAAAUACAGAUUGAUGAGGGGAACAGAAGCUGAAGUUACCCUGAAAAUGGAGCGGAGGGUAAAACUGGUCUAACAAAUAUUCUAGGAAGCUGAAUAAAUGGCAAGAAGAGGAGAGAGUAAUGUCACCAACCUAGAAUGUGUAAAAGCGCUUGGCAAGUUCCAUCUCUGCUUAAGUCCAAGAUGUGCUGGCAGAAUGUAAUAGUGUGUGAAUGUCCCAAUUGAAAGUCUGACUACAUCAGAAGACAGCAUUAUGCUCCCUUUGGAUGCUUUGCAGAUGUGAUGAGCAACUUUCUGAGCUCCAUGGCUGCUUUCCCAGGAAGAAGACAUUAAGAUUCAUCUAUCCUCUGCUCUUUGGCUAUAGAAGGUUCGGACAAUUAGAGAAGAAUGUCAUUCUCUCCCACCAUGCAGUGCUGUGCAGUCAACCAAAGGUAGUCACUUCCUCUCACCGGAGAAACUGAACCAGCACUUCAUAGAGCCCCUUUGAAGUUCAUCCACCUGCCUAAGUCAACAGGCCGACCAUUUCACUGACUUUCAUCUCAGAUCAUUUACUUUGGUUAGGAAGGAUACUAUUAAGAAAUAGUUUCAUUUUUCUGCUAAAGCUGUCUUCUCUUCUUGAAGAAGACAUAUUGCCUUGAUUCUUGGGUUUUUUUUUUGUUUGUUUGUUUGGUUGGUUUUUUUCUAGUACCGGGAAUCAA